rnacentral:rRNA from 1 species
GUCGACGAGAACGGGUAUUAGCUUGCUAAUACUGUCAGCUAAGUGGCGCACGGGUGAGUAAUAUAUAGUUAACCUGCCCUAGAGAAGGGGAUAACGUUUGGAAACGGACGCUAACACCCUAUAUGCCUUUAAUACAUAAGUAUGCAAGGGAAACAUUUAUGGCUCUAGGAUGGGACUGUACGGUAUCAGUUAGUUGGUGAGGUAAUGGCUCACCAAGACAAUGACACCUAACUGGUUUGAGAGGAUGAUCAGUCACACUGGAACUGAGACACGGUCCAGACUCCUACGGGAGGCAGCAGUGGGGAAUAUUGCACAAUGGACGAAAGUCUGAUGCAGCAACGCCGCGUGGAGGAUGACACAUUUCGGUGCGUAAACUCCUUUUAUAUAGGAAGAUAAUGACGGUACUAUAUGAAUAAGCACCGGCUAACUCCGUGCCAGCAGCCGCGGUAAUACGGAGGGUGCAAGCGUUACUCGGAAUCACUGGGCGUAAAGAGCGUGUAGGCGGAUUAAUAAGUUGGAAGUGAAAUCCUAUGGCUCAACCAUAGAACUGCUUUCAAAACUGUUUAUCUAGAAUAUGGGAGAGGUAGAUGGAAUUUCUGGUGUAGGGGUAAAAUCCGUAGAGAUCAGAAGGAAUACCGAUUGCGAAGGCGAUCUACUGGAACAUUAUUGACGCUGAGACGCGAAAGCGUGGGGAGCAAACAGGAUUAGAUACCCUGGUAGUCCACGCCCUAAACGAUGCACACUAGUUGUUGCGAGGCUAGACCUUGCAGUAAUGCAGUUAACACAUUAAG